CCCAGAGGUUUUGUUUCUUAUCUUUGUCUGUUAUAUCAGAUCAUGGACCCCCAGAGGUUUUGUUUCUUAUCUUUGUCUGUUCUAACUGACUGUCGACCCCCAGAGGUUUCAUUUCUUAUCGUUGUCUAUUCUAUCUGACCGUGGACCACCAGAGGUUUCCUUUCUUAUCGUUGUCUAUUCUAUCUGACCGUGGACCACCAGAGGUUUCCUUUCUUAUCGUUGUCUGUUAUAUCAGGUCAUGGACCCCCCAGAGGUUUCCUUUCUUAUCGUUGUCUAUUCUAUCUGACCGUGGACCACCAGAGGUUUCCUUUCUUAUCGUUGUCUAUUCUAUCUGACCGUGGACCACCAGAGGUUUCCUUUCUUAUCGUUGUCUGUUAUAUCAGAUCAUGGAGCCCCCCGGAGGUUUCUUU